rnacentral:lncRNA from 1 species
UUUGUUACAGUCUGUCAUUUUUGUUUAUCGUUCAUUGCUUCAACCAUAAAUUAGUCCUUCAUUUUAUGUCGUUUUUACUGUUUCGCAAUUUGUCAUGCUAGGUUUUAUUAUUGCAUACCAUUUAUACGGAAUGGGGUUUGCCCAUUUUUGAUGGCUGUAAGGUGACUGAAAGUUAUUUACAUCUGCGUUCUUUUAGGAAGACCUUACUAAAAUGUUGACAGGGCAAGUAACUAAUAACAUGUCGUUUUCGUUUCACA